rnacentral:rRNA from 1 species
CCUACGGGAGGCAGCAGUGAGGAAUAUUGGUCAAUGGGCGGGAGCCUGAACCAGCCAAGCCGCGUGAGGGAAGAAGGUACAGCGUAUCGUAAACCUCUUUUGUCAGGGAACAAAGGCGGGGACUAGUCCCCGGAUGAGGGUACCUGAAGAAAAAGCAUCGGCUAACUCCGUGCCAGCAGCCGCGGUAAUACGGAGGCUGCGAGCGUUAUCCGGAUUUAUGGGGUUUAAAGGGUGCGCAGGCGGCCUGUUAAGUCAGCGGUAAAAGCCCGGGGCUCAACCCCGGCGAGCCGUUGAAACUGGCGGGCUGGAGUUGGAGAGAAGUACGCGGAAUGCGCGGUGUAGCGGUGAAAUGCUUAGAUAUCGCGCAGAACCCCGAUUGCGAAGGCAGCGUACCGGCUCCACACUGACGCUGAGGCACGAAAGCGUGGGUAUCGAACAGGAUUAGAUACCCCUGUAGUC